UGUUUAUGUGCUGCUUAGGGUGGGGGCAAGGUUGCAAAAGCAGAUUCCAUGAGAAAGUCAAGGUGGGUCAGGUAGUAGUGUGAGUUCUACACUGGAAAAGUCUUAGGGAAUAAACAGACGGUUGAAAACUGUUCAUUUUCUGGGUGUAUAUGCUAUCUCCAUAGAAUUGAAUUUACACCCAGAUGUAGCAGAAUAGGUUUUAAAAAGUUAUGCAUGGAAUUUUAGUCUUCCCUCAUAUAGCUGGGGUUCAAUUUCAGCUCAUCCCAGAAGUAAGGGGAAGAGUUCCCAAUGUCUCUUGGUAAUCCUCAUAUACAGGGCACCAUGAGUAUGGCACUUGCUAUACAUAUUAUAUCCCAGAAUGACAAGCAGGAGAAAGAGCAUGUAAUGUUCAUUUCUUUCUACUUUCUCCACUACUCCAUUCAUUUCCAUUCCCAUUGUGAUCUUCCCUGCACAUACUUUUUGUAGCUGCCUGGCUUGAAUCAGGUGUCAUGAAUUCAGAAAUAUCACUGAUAACAGGAGAGAAAAAAUCUUAUGUUGAAUAAAGAUUUUGCUUCUUUUUCAGCCUUGGUAGGAA